rnacentral:rRNA from 1 species
CGGACGGGUGAGUAAUGUCUGGGAAACUGCCCGAUGGAGGGGGAUAACUACUGGAAACGGUAGCUAAUACCGCAUAACGUCGCAAGACCAAAGAGGGGGACCUUGGGCCUCUUGCCAUCGGAUGUGCCCAGAUGGGAUUAGCUAGUAGGUGGGGUAACGGCUUACCUAGGCGACGAUCCCUAGCUGGUCUGAGAGGAUGAUCAGCCACACUGGGACUGAGACACGGCCCAG